rnacentral:rRNA from 1 species
GUGACAGCCCCGUACACAAAAAUGCACAUACUGUGAGCUCGAUGAGUAGGGCGGGACACGUGGUAUCCUGUCUGAAUAUGGGGGGACCAUCCUCCAAGGCUAAAUACUCCUGACUGACCGAUAGUGAACCAGUACCGUGAGGGAAAGGCGAAAAGAACCCCGGCGAGGGGAGUGAAAAAGAACCUGAAACCGUGUACGUACAAGCAGUGGGAGCACAGAGCAAUCUGUGUGACUGCGUACCUUUUGUAUAAUGGGUCAGCGACUUAUAUUCUGUAGCAAGGUUAACCGAAUAGGGGAGCCGAAGGGAAACCGAGUCUUAACUGGGCGUUAAGUUGCAGGGUAUAGACCCGAAACCCGGUGAUCUAGCCAUGGGCAGGUUGAAGGUUGGGUAACACUAACUGGAGGACCGAACCGACUAAUGUUGAAAAAUUAGCGGAUGACUUGUGGCUGGGGGUGAAAGGCCAAUCAAACCGGGAGAUAGCUGGUUCUCCCCGAAAGCUAUUUAGGUAGCGCCUCGUGAAUUCAUCUCCGGGGGUAGAGCACUGUUUCGGCAAGGGGGUCAUCCCGACUUACCAACCCGAUGCAAACUGCGAAUACCGGAGAAUGUUAUCACGGGAGACACACGGCGGGUGCUAACGUCCGUCGUGAAGAGGGAAACAACCCAGACCGCCAGCUAAGGUCCCAAAGUCAUGGUUAAGUGGGAAACGAUGUGGGAAGGCCCAGACAGCCAGGAUGUUGGCUUAGAAGCAGCCAUCAUUUAAAGAAAGCGUAAUAGCUCACUGGUCGAGUCGGCCUGCGCGGAAGAUGUAACGGGGCUAAACCAUGCACCGAAGCUGCGGCAGCGACGCUGAUGCGUUGUUGGGUAGGGGAGCGUUCUGUAAGCCUGUGAAGGUGUGCUGUGAGGCAUGCUGGAGGUAUCAGAAGUGCGAAUGCUGACAUAAGUAACGAUAAAGCGGGUGAAAAGCCCGCUCGCCGGAAGACCAAGGGUUCCUGUCCAACGUUAAUCGGGGCAGGGUGAGUCGACCCCUAAGGCGAGGCCGAAAGGCGUAGUCGAUGGGAAACAGGUUAAUAUUCCUGUACUUGGUGUUACUGCGAAGGGGGGACGGAGAAGGCUAUGUUGGCCGGGCGACGGUUGUCCCGGUUUAAGCGUGUAGGCUGGUUUUCCAGGCAAAUCCGGAAAAUCAAGGCUGAGGCGUGAUGACGAGGCACUACGGUGCUGAAGCAACAAAUGCCCUGCUUCCAGGAAAAGCCUCUAAGCAUCAGGUAACAUCAAAUCGUACCCCAAACCGACACAGGUGGUCAGGUAGAGAAUACCAAGGCGCUUGAGAGAACUCGGGUGAAGGAACUAGGCAAAAUGGUGCCGUAACUUCGGGAGAAGGCACGCUGAUAUGUAGGUGAAGUCCCUCGCGGAUGGAGCUGAAAUCAGUCGAAGAUACCAGCUGGCUGCAACUGUUUAUUAAAAACACAGCACUGUGCAAACACGAAAGUGGACGUAUACGGUGUGACGCCUGCCCGGUGCCGGAAGGUUAAUUGAUGGGGUUAGCGCAAGCGAAGCUCUUGAUCGAAGCCCCGGUAAACGGCGGCCGUAACUAUAACGGUCCUAAGGUAGCGAAAUUCCUUGUCGGGUAAGUUCCGACCUGCACGAAUGGCGUAAUGAUGGCCAGGCUGUCUCCACCCGAGACUCAGUGAAAUUGAACUCGCUGUGAAGAUGCAGUGUACCCGCGGCAAGACGGAAAGACCCCGUGAACCUUUACUAUAGCUUGACACUGAACAUUGAGCCUUGAUGUGUAGGAUAGGUGGGAGGCUUUGAAGUGUGGACGCCAGUCUGCAUGGAGCCGACCUUGAAAUACCACCCUUUAAUGUUUGAUGUUCUAACGUUGACCCGUAAUCCGGGUUGCGGACAGUGUCUGGUGGGUAGUUUGACUGGGGCGGUCUCCUCCUAAAGAGUAACGGAGGAGCACGAAGGUUGGCUAAUCCUGGUCGGACAUCAGGAGGUUAGUGCAAUGGCAUAAGCCAGCUUGACUGCGAGCGUGACGGCGCGAGCAGGUGCGAAAGCAGGUCAUAGUGAUCCGGUGGUUCUGAAUGGAAGGGCCAUCGCUCAACGGAUAAAAGGUACUCCGGGGAUAACAGGCUGAUACCGCCCAAGAGUUCAUAUCGACGGCGGUGUUUGGCACCUCGAUGUCGGCUCAUCACAUCCUGGGGCUGAAGUAGGUCCCAAGGGUAUGGCUGUUCGCCAUUUAAAGUGGUACGCGAGCUGGGUUUAGAACGUCGUGAGACAGUUCGGUCCCUAUCUGCCGUGGGCGCUGGAGAACUGAGGGGGGCUGCUCCUAGUACGAGAGGACCGGAGUGGACGCAUCACUGGUGUUCGGGUUGUCAUGCCAAUGGCACUGCCCGGUAGCUAAAUGCGGAAGAGAUAAGUGCUGAAAGCAUCUAAGCACGAAACUUGCCCCGAGAUGAGUUCUCCCUGACUCCUUGAGAGUCCUGAAGGAACGUUGAAGACGACGACGUUGAUAGGCCGGGUGUGUAAGCGCAGCGAUGCGUUGAGCUAACCGGUACUAAUGAACCGUGAGGCUUAACCUUACAACGCCGAAGGUGUUU